AAACCCAAACCAAACAAAAAUAAACAAACAAAAAGGAAGUGUUUCUCUCAGUAUGGCAGUGUUCCUUUCAGAUUUUGGUGCCCCACUUAAAAACAGCUGUAAUUUUUUGUUUUUUUUAUCUUUUCUUCUUGGCUGUGCCCACAGCAUGCAUAAAUAAGUUCCCGGGCCGAGGAUGGAACCUGUGCCACAGCAGUGACAACAACGUCGGGUCCUUAACCUGCUGUGCCACCAGGGAACUCCAAAAGCAGCUGUUUUGAAAUAUAAUUUAGAAGUUCCCGUUGUGGCUCAGCAGUAACAAACCUGACUAGUAUCCAUGAGGACUCGGGGUUGAUCCCUGGUCUUGCUCAGUGGGUUAAGGAUCCAGUAUUGCCAUGAGCUGGGGUGUAGGUCGCAAACGUGGCUCGGAUCUGGCAUUGCUGUGGCUGUGGCGUAGGCCUGUGCCUGCAGUUCUCAUUUGACCCCUAGCCUAGGAACUUCUGUAUGCCUCGGGUGCAGCCCUAAAAAAACAAAACAACACAAAACAAAACAAAAAGAAAAGAAAAGAAAUGUCAUUCACACACCAGACAAUUCAUCCGUGUAAGGUGCAAAAUUCGCUACCAUCACCACUGCAGACAAUGUAAAAAAUUUUUCAUCAUCCCCCAAAGAAAUCCUGCACCCCUUAGCCGCCUACCCAACCCCUCUCUUCCCCUUAGGCCCUGGUGACCAUUAGUCUACUUUUUGUCUCUGUAAAUUUGCCCUUUCUGGACAUUUCACAUAAAUGAGAUCAUAGAACAUGUGGUCUGGUGUGUGUUGUGUGUGAAGAACACAGUUUGAGAUCCGCCCUUCUCUACCCACUUCUCCACACCCCCCUGGGUUGACGCACCCCCCGGGGCCCCCUCUUGUUUUCUGCUUCAAUGAGUCUUUUAUUAGGAUUAUUAUUUUUGCUUUUUAGGGCUGCACCUGCGGCAUAUGGAGGUUCCCAGGCUAGGAGUCAAAUCAGAACUGCAGCUGCCAGCCAUAGGUUACAGUUAAAACAAACUCUAAAGCAAACGCUGAAAUAACAAAGAACCAAUAAACCUACAAAGAAGACAAAAUGGACUUAUCAGGAAAUACUCGGAAUUCCCAUCCUGGCUCAGUGGUUAACAAACCUGACUAGUAUCCUGAGGACUCGGGUUUGACCCCUGGCCUUGCUCAGUGGGUUAAGGGUCUGGCAUUGCUGUGAGCUGUGGUGUAGAUCGCAGAUGUGGCUCAGAUCUAGCGUUGCUGUAGUUGUGGUGUAGGGCAACAGCUACAGCUCUGAUUUGACCCCUAGCCUGNAGCGUUGCUGUAGUUGUGGCGUAGGGCAACAGCUACAGCUCUGAUUUGACCCCUAGCCUGGGAACCUCCAUAUGCCGCAGGUACAGCCCUAAAAAGCAAAAAACAAAAAACAAAAAACAAAAAAAACCCACCAAACUACAAAACAAUUAAUCCAAAAUAAAGUUUUUUUUGGUUUGUGUUUUUGCUUUUUAGGGCUGCACCUGCGGCAUAAGGAAGUUCCCAGGCUUGGGGGCAAAUCAGAACUGCAGCUGCCAGUCUACACCCCAGCCACAGCAAUACCAGAUCUGAGCCACCUUUGAGACCUACACCACAGCUCUCGACAAUGACAGAUCGUUAACCCACUGAGUGAGGCCA
rnacentral:lncRNA from 1 species